AGAGAGCUGAGUGAAAACAAUCUUGCUGAGUUCAGUCAAGCUCCAGAAAUGUACGGGUAAGCCUCAUCCAAUCAGUUGAAGACAUUAAGGAAAAGACUGAUAUUCCUGAGAAAGAGGAAAUUCUGCUAGCAGAUGGCCUUUGGACUCAAACUGCAACAUCAAUUCUUCCCUGGGUCUCCAGCCUGCUGGCCUAGCAUACCCCUCAAAUUUUGGACUUGCCAGCCUCUACAAUUGUGUGAGCCAAUUCCUUAUAUCUCCUCCUCUCCCCUCACUCCGUCUCUCUAUCUGGUC
rnacentral:lncRNA from 1 species